rnacentral:tRNA from 1 species
GCGAGGAUAGCUCAGCGGUAGAGCAGUUGGCUUUUAACCAAUUGGUCCUGGGUUCAAAUCCCAGUCCUCGUA